UAGUAUUCCUUCCAUUGAGUGCACAGUUUUUAAAAGAAAUCGGUUGAUCUCUCGGUUGAUCGAAGAUGUAGGCCCCCAUUAAAGUAUCCUGGAUUUAUCGAAUUAUCUCCGCAUACAUAACACUCCAUCGAGAUCGGCUAAUGAUAAUGCGCGUAAAUUGGAAAAGGUCUUUUCUUAUCGCAAGAAUAAAGAGAGAGAAAGAGAGGGAGAAUGAUAGGAAGAGGGAGAAACAUUUUACAGAUAUUUCAUAAUACACUGUAGUCGCUAUGCGAUUUACACGUUUUUACGUCACGUUACACUUACUUACACGCGUAAGUAAAUAAUAUUCCCUUUUUAUUUUUUUAAUUGUUCAGUGAAAAGCGAGGAAACUCUAAAGUGAUGAUAUGAGAAAUAACUCAAAGGGAACGUUAACAAAAAAUGUGAAAAAAAGGGUACAUGAAUUUCGAUGAUUCUCGAGAUAUUCGCGACAAGAUGUAUGGUCAUGUGAGCACUCCCUAAAUGUUUGACGAAAAAUACAAUACUUGGAUGAGAAAGUUUUAACGAACGGAUUUGAAAUCAAUCGAGCAAACAGACAAUUUUUGAUUGACUUAGUUAUUAAUGGUUGUUAGCUCGGAUUGAAGAAUUUAUAAUAAUUUGAUUUAAACAGGCGCACACGUAUACAUAGACACAUGUACACAUAGACACUUGUCGCACUAGACGCACACAUAGGCACCUGUCGUACUAGACGUACACAUAGACACCUGUUUCCUUUGGGAUGAGGAUCGUAAUUUUUUUCUUUCUCGUAAAAUUAAUAAAUUUUUUUGCAGAAAAUUCAUACCUUUUAAACACAAUAGAUAAGACCUCUCAUAGUUGACGAAGAUUGACCGGUCGUUCAAUAGGCACAUACUAUGCACGUACGUUUAAUACGAGAAAUAAUUAAAACGCGAAUUAAUUAAUUGUCCAUUUUGGUGAUGAGACGCGCUACAGAUUGAAUUCGUAACGUUGAUAGUCGACCAACGUAUUCAAGUACUUGGCCGAACGAAGACUAUUCGUUGAUCGAGUCAUGAACCAUUGGAAAAGCUCUGGAACGGUGGGAGGAUGAGAAAUCGUAAUAUUGACCAUCGUGUCUAUUAAAAUCUUUCUUUUUUUCUUUUUUCUUUUUUUUUUUUUUUUUUUUUUUUUUAAA